GAUGAAGAACGUAGCGAAAUGCGAUACGUAAUGUGAAUUGCAGAAUUCAGUGAAUCAUCGAAUCUUUGAACGCAUAUUGCGCUCUCUGGUAUUCCGGAGAGCAUGCUUGUUUGAGUAUCAGUAAACACCUCAACUUCCAUAUCUUUUUUGAAAUGGGAGUUGGACUUGAGUGAUCCCAACGCUUUUCCUCACCGAAAAGUGGCGGGUUACUUGAAAUGCAGGUGCAGCUGGACUUUUCUUUUAGCUAUAAGCAUAUCUAUUUAGUCUGCCUAAAAAACAGAUUAUUACCUUUGCUGCAGCUAACAUAAAGGAGAUUAGUUCUUGUGCUGACUGAUGCAGGAUUCACAAAGACGGCUUCGGCCGACUUUGUAAACUCGAUCUCAAAUCAAGUAAGACUACCCGCUGAACUUAAGCAUAUCAAUAAGCGGAGGA
rnacentral:misc_RNA from 1 species